CAUGGGGGAGACCAACUGAGCCUCCCACACUCUGCAUUUCCGCUGAGUGCGACCUGUACUCAUUACAGGUGAAGGAUGCCCUGGCAGAUUCAGGGGGACCAGCACUUGAUUGGGGCCCUGAAAUACGUAAAAUCACACGUAAAAUUGGAC